GGUUAUGGUUCAGUGGCAGAGCGCUCGCCUAGCAUGUGUGAGGCCCUGGGUUCAAUCCUCAGCACCA
rnacentral:tRNA from 1 species